rnacentral:rRNA from 1 species
UACGUAGGGGGCACGCGUUGUCCGGAUUUAUUGGGCGUAAAGAGCGUGUAGGCGGCCUGAAAGGUCAGCUGUGAAAACUCGAGGCUCAACCUCGAGACGUCGGUUGAAACCAUCUGGCUAGAGUCCGGAAGAGGAGUGUGGAAUUCCCGGUGUAGCGGUGAAAUGCGCAGAUAUCGGGAAGAACACCCGUGGCGAAGGCGGCACUCUGGGACGGUACUGACGCUGAGACGCGAAAGCGUGGGGAGCGAACAGG